AAUCUCGAUGGCAAGCGGGAGCCGAGAUGAUGUCAGACCUUAGGACCGGGGCAGGUGCUCUCAAAACACACCGUCUCCGGUGAAAAAGGUGCAUUAAUUUAUCAGUAACGUGAAAAAUCUGCAUCCGUCGGGGAUAUUGUGGAUAUCUGUCUACACCGCGGAGAUGACAGAGGUGGAGCCGGUGUUGGAUUUUGCCUCAUCGGGCCGCUCUGGCCGUCGCAACGCAUUGCCGGACAUCCUGGGGUCUCCUGUUGGAGUCCCGCCUGACCUGCCUCUUAAACUGGCAGAACUAUCCCUCACAGACGGUCCAGGUGAUGCUCAGUCCCCGUCUAUGGAGGAACCCCCCACUCCUACAGAGAGCCCAGAGGUGAAGGAGGGUUCCUAGGUGGCUGAGUCUAUGCCAAAACCAGAGAGAUGGGGCCUCAACAGCCCCCGCCUUUCCCCUGGAGCUCAUCCUCUACCGGCUGUUCCUGAUGCCUGUCAGACUGCAUUAUAGGAAGCAACAGAGGGCAGCUAAAAUGCUAAAUGAAGGACAAGGUCUUCAAAGGGUUUGAGCAGUGGAAAAAAAGACAGGAAUGGAAGCAGAAUAUUGCAAGAGGAAGAGCAAUCCUCACUUUUUGAAACACAGACAAGCCAAAACACUGGGGGAUCUGCUUGGGAACGCUUUAAUGAAUUUUACGCAUUUGUUUGACAAAAUGCUGUUCUUUUUAUGAGCUUUCUAUCCAAUAAUGACUAUUGUGAGUUACGUAUACAUCCAGUUGUUGUUUGAUAUUGUAUGAUAUUAUGUGAUCUCAGUAAUGUGUCUUUAAAAAUCGCCUCUGAUUUUGGAAAGGGUAACCAUGAAAGAAUAUGAGCAGAUGUUUGCGGCUAUUCAAGCGGCAUGUAGCAUUAUCUUCAGCCUUCAAAUAAUAAUAAUAAUAAAUAAAAAGAUAUAUAUAUUAUAUAUAUAUAUAUAUAUAUAUAUUGCAAAACCAAAAUAGAUAUUUGUGAGUAAAUUAAUCAGAACUGCCAAACACGAAAUGCAGUAGAAAAAGCAUAAAUCAGGAAGGGAAGAAUAAUCAUAAAAUUAAGAGUAUACAGUACUAGGAUAAAAAUAGUUUGCAGGAUUUUAAGAAAUAUUCAUAAUGCCCUCCAAAGGCAGAGUUUUGAUUUUAAUUUGAAUGGGUCAGCGGAUUCUAAAUAAAUAAAAACACUGACUUUAAUCUGAGCAUGCAAAAGAUUUUAUAACUUAAAAAAGAAAAAAAUGUCCACUUUGUAAUCUCUAUAAACUCAUACUGUAUGUGAUGUACAGAGUUUUGUAUAGAGUGUUCUUACUUAUGUUUAGUAGAUCUUUGAUGUCAGUUUGAUUCAAACUCACAUGAUUGAGCUAAUCCAAACUAUAGGAUAAAAAAAUAGAGUACCUUCGUUGGAUGUGUGGUGCAAGGAUGUCUAAGAGCCAUAGCCUUUUUAAGGUCUGUAUAGCCUAAACAUGCAAACUAAAGGGAGGGAUAUGACUGAUCUUUUGACAAGUCCAGAGAGAUCUUUUUUAGUGUCUGUGUCAUGAUGUGAAUGAAACUGGUAUUCUUUAUUAAGAUGUUGUUUGUUUUUAAUACUCUGUGUUUAUUUUACAGUAUUGUCCCAUUUAUACUCUACGCUGGUAACUUAAUGUAUCAGUGUAAAUUGUUGUAAUUGCCAAACUGGGAUAAAAUUGCCUUUGUAUGUUUUUACACUACAGUAACUGUGCUGUUAAAAACACAUCAAUGAAGUCACACAAUGUGUGUAUUGUAUCUAGCAUUACAAAGAUAUAGAAGCUGUAUCUGUAUAUACACAUAUAUCAAAAAUGAAUGAUACUGAAAGGGGCCAGUAUUAGAAAUCAAUUGAAACCUGCUGUACCUCAGAACCUAUUUAAAUGAAUGAAGUGCUGUUGUUUACCACCAGGUGGAGCCACUAUUCACACGGGGGCAUUGCAAUCUAAACGCCAUUUGUUGUCAUUAUGAAACCAUAAGAGGGUGACCAUGUGUUUCUCUGCAAUAAACGUCUAAUGUCAUACACAUA